rnacentral:rRNA from 1 species
UACGGAGGGUGCAAGCGUUAUCCGGAUUCACUGGGGUUAAAGGGUGCGUAGGAGGGCAGGUAAGUCAGUGGUGAAAUCUCCAAGCUUAACUUGGAAACUGCCGUUGAUACUAUCUGUCUUGAAUAUUGUGGAGGUGAGCGGAAUAUGUCAUGUAGCGGUGAAAUGCUUAGAUAUGACAUAGAACACCAAUUGCGAAGGCAGCUCACUACACAAUCAUUGACUCUGAGGCACGAAAGCGUGGGGAUCAAACAGG